rnacentral:lncRNA from 1 species
ACGUUUUAGUGUUGAAUGCCUUUAAAUGCCUGUAAACUGGAUGUUUAACUGUUUUACAGGGUGAAGUUGGUGAUCAGGGUUACCCAGGACCACAGGGACCCCCAGGGCCAAAGGGUGAGCAGGGAGAGCCAGGUCCUCAGGGUGACCGAGGAACCGAUGGUCUGCCAGGCUUGAAGGGAGAUGUUGGAGAACAAGGGCCCCAGGGUGAACCGGGCCGCCCUGGUGAAAAAGGCACAUCAGGAUCCGGUGAUAUCAUUGACUUCAAUGGCAAACUCUUAGAUGCCUUUCAGGCCAUCAAAACCAUCAGUGUCUCGGUAACUGUACUGUAGCACGACUUGCCAUUUUUGGUUAUUUCAGUUGAAUGUGCAGCCUAAUUAUCCUUAACAAAUACUCACUGUGUGUGCUUGUGAAUUUAAAACAAUUCAUUAUUAUGUCAGCAUAUCAUG